GAUGGUGGUAAUAGCAGUGAGGUCACACCUGUUCCCAUUCCGAACACAGAAGUUAAGCUCACUCACGUCGAUGAUACUGCACUGGCAACGGUGUGGGAAAGUAGAUAGCCGCCAUCU
rnacentral:rRNA from 1 species